rnacentral:rRNA from 1 species
UACAGAGGGUGCAAGCGUUGUUCGGAAUUACUGGGCGUAAAGCGUGCGCAGGCGGUUCGUUGUGUCGGCGGUGAAAGCCCCGGGCUCAACCUGGGAAUGGCCGUUGAAACUGGCGAACUGGAGUGUGGCAGAGGGGGGUGGAAUUCCGCGUGUAGCAGUGAAAUGCGUAGAGAUGCGGAGGAACACCGAUGGCGAAGGCAGCCCCCUGGGCUGACACUGACGCUCAGGCACGAAAGCGUGGGGAGCGAACAGG